GACUGGUCAGCCUCACUGACAGACACCGCUGUCCCCGUUUUAUAAAGGCGGAAGCUGAGGCUGGGAGAGGCAAAAUGAAUUUUCCCAGGCAAAAUGAAAUCACAUACAGAAUCAUUUGCUGCAGCAUUGUAAGGGCCAAGGACAGUAAGCCAAGACGCCCGUCAGGAAGCUGCAGGGUGAACAGCCCGGGGCGCCCGAACCAUGCGGCUUGAGAAGGCUGAGGAUGCUCCCCACGUGCUGGCAGAGACGACCCCCAAAUGCAGUCGGAGGAGACCUUGUGCCACAGCAGACUUGGCUCCUUACUUGAAUCUCCAGGGACCAGGGACAUGACAACCACACCUCUGGCAGCUGGCCCGGGGACCCAAACAGCUGGUCCAACCAAAGGCACUUGCCGGCAAGCCCCAUGGGGAUCAGGACCCAUGUGGGCCCCAAGGCUGUCCGUGUGGUUACCUGAU